rnacentral:lncRNA from 1 species
AAGCUGGUUGUAGAGGUGGCAGCUGAUCAAGCCAUGGGCAGGCGGGAUCCACUGCCUGAGUUGUAACUAGAGACUCCCCCGCAGUGUGGGGCUUGGCGAUGGGGCCACAGGCAGCAGGCAGCACCAGGCAGCCAGGCAAGCAGACAGCUGUGGCGGGCUCUGUGAGGAAGGGCAGGCCGUCCUCCCAAGAGGAGGAGCAGGUUGGCUGCAGGGCGUGAGUUGCUAGCAAUGAUUAAUUUAUUCCUUACUGGAUUUGUCAGGUGUCAGGGCCUAGGCACUGGCUGGGUGGCUGGGGAGGUGCCGAGGAUGAGAGGCUGCAGCAGGGGGGCUGGGUGACAGGGCCUCUGGGUGAGGCCCCUGGCCUGGAUGAGAUAAGGGGGCACCAAGCAGGAUGUCUUAACAGGAAGAAAACUCCCAUCAUAGCAGCCCUUAAGUGCACACGAAUCACCAGGGAUCUCUUUAAAAUGCAGAUUCACAUACGGCAGACCCAGGGUAGGGCAGGAGAGUCUGCAUUUCUAAAAAGUUCCCAGGUGAUGCCGAUGCUGCUGUUCCACGCCACACUUUGGCAGCAAGAUGAGGGAAAAGGGGAUUAAUUGUCAGCAUUCAGGGGAAGCUCACGACAUUCAAUAGCAGGAACUGGAAACCUGCAAGCUGUCAGCAGUGACAGCUUCUCUCUCUGGAGCCACAUGGUCUCUUGUCUGCACAUCUGCUCUCUUCUCCUCUCUAGCCUGGCUUCCUCUGCAAGCCUUUGUAACUUGGCUCGCCCUUGGCUGUCUUUACCACUGCCAGGACCCUGACCCCAACCUUAUGGCUCCAGCUCCUAACUCUGUCAGGCUAUAGUUUUUCUGGUCUCUUCUGACUUUUUUCUCUCUCAAGAUUCUGAUUGGCUCGGCUGGUCAGGUGUCCAUACUUGGUCCAAGAAGCUGUGCUAAGGGGCCAACAAGUAGGGCUGCUCAGGUGCUUUCAAUGGCGUCAUGGAACGCCCCCCCCCCCCCCCCCCCCCAUGGGUAGCCUCAGUCAGAUGGAUGGAGAGAAAUGCAGCCUUGAGGAACUGUUUUAAACACGUGUGAUCAGAAACUCUAGAAAAAAAGAAUUUCAGCAUAUAUUUUGGCUACUUUCCAAAAUGUGAGUUUAUUUGGAAUUAUUUCUAGAACUAGGUGGGUGGGCACCAAAAUCUUUUUCUUGUUUAAAGCCCUGGAAGGAGCGAGGGUUUGACAGGAGCCCCAAACAUGCCUCCAAGAGAAGAGGCCAGGGGGAGUGUCGCGAUGAAGGCCCUGUGGCUUGAGACAAAUGAGAAGAGAGGGAGAGAGCUGAGACGCGGGCUGUUCGCUUGGUGGUUCCUCAGUCGCCAGGGCAGCCUGACUGUGAAGGAGCUGCUGCAGCUCGCGGGAGCCCAGGAACAGUGACCCCGCCCUCGGAUCCCAGGUGCACGAGGCUGGCUGAGAUUUCAACGACAGUAGUCAGGUCUGCACAUGGGGAAAGGUCACGGCUCAUAAUAGCUUGGAUUGUUCAACCUAGACAUGUGCGGAUUAGGAAACAAGACGCAGAGAGACUCCGACCCGCUCAAGGUGAAAGUUCCACUUGGUGGCUGAGCCAGCCAAGGAUGCCUGCGUCCUGACAUCCAGCCCUGAGCUCUUCUGAAGAUGAGGGGACUCUUAAGAAUACACAAUACUUCCAGGCUUUUUGUUCCGACAGAAGUAAGUUUGCAAAGCAGUUGCGGAGGACUCUCUGAAGAAGGGCAAACAGUCCCCGAGGGGGUGGAGCUGCUGGCUCCAGGAGCUCUGUUGCCAGCAAGUAUUAAUUCACUCCGGCUGGCGCUGUCUUGGGGGCCUCCCGCGCACAAUAGCAUUAAGAGUGUUGGCAGCUGCGGAGGGAGAAGGCCCGCUCCACCUGGGAAUGAGGAAGAUGUGACUCCUCGCAAGGUUGCUCUCCUCCCAGCUCCCGCUCUUGGGAGAGAUGAUCAGUGCUUACGGGCCUGGGAGCAGGCUGCUGAGGACACAGUGUUCCCGGGGAUGGUGGCAGAUCUUGGAGAAGGGACAGAAGCUGGGCCAAGAGACUGGAACUUAUGCAAAUCAGGCCUGAGGAUGGUUCAAGGAGGGGGCAGCCCCUGCCUUAUGCCUCCCCGUCAGCAUACCCAGAACCAGACUCCUCAGGAGGAACAUCUUUUGUCUUCAAUGCUAAGCUUGUUCACGAGGAUGUGUGCGCUGGGAAAAUAGGUUUGGAGUUUGAUGAGCUGCCUGCUGCUGGCUCCUCUGUUUUCUGGCAUCAAGGUUCCUCAAUAGUGGACUCAACAGUUGCAUUUUUCACCUACAAAAGAAUUGCUAUCAGAAAACCAGACAGCGGAUAAUUGUAUUUUGUGAAUUGACAGUGAAGCCACUCGGUUUCAGCCCAGGUCCAAAGGCUGAGGAUGUUCACCCAGGAGAAAUGGUUUGUGCGAGAGAAUUCAUUUCUGAGUACUCAUUUUUACUGGAGGAAACAGGGUUGCUUGGAUUUUUUUUUUUUUUUUAUUCUUCUUCAACAUGUAGGCAGAAGGUUCAGAAUCCCUAACAGCUCUGGCGACCCCUGCUGUGUCAGUGUGAAUGCAAGAUGCCCAGUAAGACUGGAGGCUCCAGCUUCAACCAGAGCCUCAUCCAUCUCUUCAAACCUACCAGGGAAGGAAAUAAAAAUAUGUGCCCAUAAAUUUCCUCCUUGACGGGCAGCAAAUGCGCUGGCCUCCUGCCACCUGACAGUGAAACGUGAAGCUGGGGAGUGUCUCCCUGCAAGCGCACCUAGGGCUGCUCCUGCCCCCUUCUGGAGCAGGAUCAAAAUGCUUCCCAAGAAGUGCGCCAGCUGCCCUUGUGGGCCAGGCCCAGCCAUCCAAAGCUGCCGAAGAGCAACUUGGCUUCCUUUCCCUUCUCCCACUUGGACCACCAGGAUGCCUCUGCAGUUUUUUGGACUCCUGUUUUGACCAGUUAUCCCAAUUAACUUGAGCAAGAUAGAAGGAGAGACCUAUACCCCCCUCUUUGUCCGAGAAAAAAUGCACCAAGGGAGAGAGAAUGAAGACAAGCCUAUGAAUCUGUUCCCUGCACACAUCGAACUCAUUCCUAUCUCUGCGCAUGCUGUUCAACCCACUGGGAACACGCUUUCUUCUCCCAUCAGCACCCAUUUACCUAAAUUUUAUUCAUUCUUCAAGACUCCUUAAAUCCCGUCUGCUUCAUGAAGAUUUUUUAUCUGUGAGUUCACUCCCUCCACUGUCUCUUAC